UCAUACUUAUAAUUGUUUUAAAUGAAAUAGAGGUUGCCCUUUUUGAAAUUUUGGAAAAGAAAAUGAUCACAAGUUCAAAUGUGAGACCCUAAAUUAUAAUAUUACCGAUUUAGAGGUUUUAGUAAAUUUACAUGAAUCUGUAUAGAUUAAAGUUAAUGCAAUUAUUAAUACAUAAAACACAGAGGAAUAAUGUAGAAUGGAGCAGUGAGGGAAUUCUUCCUAAUGUUUCUUCCUCUGGUUACAAAACUGGAAAUCAAGCACACAUAAAAAUCUAAAACUGUUUAAUGCAAGUGUCCUUUGGUCCUAGUGAUUUCAUGCUGCUUCUAUCAAUGAAACCUAGAGCUAGAGCAGAGAGGCCAUAGAUGUGUCUUGAAGUGUACUGAUCAUAAUAUAUGUUUAUGUUGGCAUAUAUUUCACCCCAGUAGAUGAAUAAAUUCAGUGUAUUAGAACUCUAUAAAAGUAUGGGGUUUUACAACAUAUGCUUUCUACAUCCUUACUGAGGAAUUUGCAUGCACCGAAAUAAUUUUACUUUUGAGAAAUUAAUUUUGUGAAUAAAGUGGUCGGUUGUGUUUGAGGCUGAAAGCCUGUUGGAGAAUUAGGUUAACAAAGGGUGAAGGUGAAGAUCAUUAGAGGUUUUAGGACUGGCUGAGAAGGGUUGUUGGGGUUGUGUAACUGUGCCUAGAGGGCGGGGUUCCUGUACAUUCCUACUUCAGCAGAUAACCUGCCCUCAACACCACUCCAGCUUCUGCCAGACAGAUGGAACUCUGCGACGCGAAAAUCUGCGCAGCCAUUUCAAGAAGCAGGGCUCUCCUAGACGUCAGGAGGAUAGCACCAAAGACAAAGACUUGAGAAUUGGCAGCGCUCUUACCCCGAGACCGAGCUUUAUUCCUGAUGGGUACCCUGAAGGCUGGUAUGAUCAUCCACAUCACAGCUCAGGUGUGCUGAUCUCAAGCUGACAUUUCUAAGGAGAAAGCACCACAACGCCCGUGCUCUCAACAAGUGUCCAGAGAAAGUUGCUUCAACACUCUUUAAAAAAAAAAAAAGUUCCCCAUUCAGCCUCCUCCAGUCUCUGAAUUACUGCAUAGAAUUUUAAACUCAUUCAGAUCUCUUCCAUGUCUGAAUUCAUGAUCAUCUUCCUAUCUUUUGGUUCCACAAAUAAAGAAGAAAUAAUAAUAAAUGAGUGAAAUUGUUUUGAUCUCACUGAAUCACUCUGAGCUCAGCCAACCCCACUGGACUAAUUCACCUUGUCCUUUUUCAUUGCCUUAAGUCUCUCUAGAUAUUUUGUAGCAAAGCUCUCCUCUGUGCGUUUGCCUAGCUGGAAAGAAGAACACUGGAGCUGUGGCGCUUGCCUUUGCUCUUGAAGUAUAUACCCCCCAAAAGCUGAGCUCUCUCGAUGAUGGGGUAUGAGUGGCAAGCACCAUCUUUCCUUUAUGUUGCAUAGCAGCUUUUACUUCUUUAUCCUGGGUGCCACAGUUCUUGCUGGUGUGAGGUCGUUAUGGUUAUGAACUGACUCCUCUUGUAGGAGGCAUUGGGAGAAUUUUGUCCUAGCAAUCAAGAGGUGUGUGCCUAGAUGAUUAACCUGGGCUGCAGAUGUAGCUCAGUGUCCCUAACCUGGUUAAGACCCUGGAUUCAAUUUCUCGUACCCAUAAUGAACUGAAUCAAGAGACUGCACUUCUAUACUAAGUGAAAGGAAAAAGCCACUAUUACUUAUCUUUAUUACUUAUUUUUCAUAAGUAGGCAAGACAUUUUAGUGUACAUUAUCUUGAAAUGAUAAUGAACGGAUUUGUGUGGAUUAUAAUGGGAGAGGCAGCCACAAGAAAUCUUAAAGAAUGAGCACAAGGUGAACUUCAACAUUAACACAAACGGUGCAAAGUUAUCUUGAAAAAGCAAGUUAUUUCCUCUGCAAUAAGACUUCAUUUAAGAGCUACUAGAGGCAUUGACAUAUCCACAGAGAAAAUGGUAGCAAUGAAAGCAGAUAAAGUCAGAAGCGAAAAAAAAAAAACUAUUUAAAUAUGGUUCAGAGAUGGAGGGAGGGCUUCAUGACAUAGGUCUUCAGUCGCAAUGAAAAUCUCGAUCCUCUUGUAAAGGAGCAUUAAUUUAAAUUUGGUGCUGAUAACUGCUCAAAUAAUAAAAGUAACUGCAUUCUAAGUCCAUGUUUUUCAAGUAAUAUUCUUUUAUUUUUUCCUGGAUGGGGUUUCCCUAGUUCCAGCCUGCCUGGAACUCAC